rnacentral:rRNA from 1 species
AGUGAACGCUGGCGGUAGGCCUAACACAUGCAAGUCGAACGGCAGCACAGUAAGAGCUUGCUCUUACGGGUGGCGAGUGGCGGACGGGUGAGGAAUACAUCGGAAUCUACUUUUUCGUGGGGGAUAACGUAGGGAAACUUACGCUAAUACCGCAUACGACCUACGGGUGAAAGCAGGGGAUCUUCGGACCUUGCGCGAUUGAAUGAGCCGAUGUCGGAUUAGCUAGUUGGCGGGGUAAAGGCCCACCAAGGCGACGAUCCGUAGCUGGUCUGAGAGGAUGAUCAGCCACACUGGAACUGGGACACGGUCCAGACUCCUACGGGAGGCAGCAGUGGGGAAUAUUGGACAAUGGGCGCAAGCCUGAUCCAGCCAUACCGCGUGGGUGAAGAAGGCCUUCGGGUUUUAAAGCCCUUUUGUUGGGAAAGAAAAGCAGCAGGUUAAUACCCCGCUGUUCUGACGGUACCCAAAGAAUAAGCAACGGCUAAAUUUGUU